AUUCUAGUCCGGCUGUCUGAAGAGUCAUGAGAGGUGUAGCAUAGGUGGGAGGCCUUGGCCGACCGUGAAAUGCCAUUACUUUCAUCGAUUCUUUACUUAUUUGGUAAGGGGAGAACUGACUAGUUCUAGAGACUAUUAGCCUGUCCGUUCCUUCGGUUCCCAGCUCCAUCUACGAUUGGGCGAAGUAU
rnacentral:ncRNA from 1 species